rnacentral:rRNA from 1 species
UACGUAGGUGGCAAGCGUUAUCCGGAUUUAUUGGGUGUAAAGGGCGUGUAGGCGGGAGCGCAAGUCAGAUGUGAAAACUCAGGGCUCAACCCUGAGCCUGCAUUUGAAACUGUGUUUCUUGAGUGCUGGAGAGGUAAGUGGAAUUCCUAGUGUAGCGGUGAAAUGCGUAGAUAUUAGGAGGAACACCAGUGGCGAAGGCGGCUUACUGGACUGUAAAUGACGCUGAGGCUCGAAAGCGUGGGGAGCAAACAGG